AGUGAACGCUGGCGGUAGGCCUAACACAUGCAAGUCGAACGGCAGCACAGUAAGAGCUUGCGCUUACGGGUGGCGAGUGGCGGACGGGUGAGGAAUACAUCGGAAUCUACUUUUUCGUGGGGGAUAACGUAGGGAAACUUACGCUAAUACCGCAUACGUCCUACGGGUGAAAGCAGGGGAUCUUCGGACCUUGCGCGAUUGAAUGAGCCGAUGUCGGAUUAGCUAGUUGGCGGGGUAAAGGCCCACCAAGGCGACGAUCCGUAGCUGCUCUGAGAGGAUGAUCACCCACACUGGAACUGAGACACGGUCCAGACUCCUACGGGAGGCCGCAGUGCGGAAUAUUGCGCGAUGGGCCAAUGCCUGAUCCAGCCAUACCGCGUGAGUGAUGAAGGCCUUCUGGUUGUAAAGCCCUGUUGUUGGGAAAGAAAAGCAGCAGGUUAAUCCCCCGCUGUUCUGACGGUACCCAAAGAAUAAGCACCGGCUAACUUCGUG
rnacentral:rRNA from 1 species